CGUAGGCCCUUACUAUAAGUUUGCACUCGGCACAGGUCGAAAGGGCAAACAAUCGAUAGUGUCGGGUUGCAAGAGCGAGUGAGAGUUGAGUCAGUCAGUUCCGGGUUUCGGGCCGAGCCGUGCGGAGGCCGGUUGCUGUGAUACAAGGUUUACCGACAAAGGGAGUGGCCAUCGCCGCGGUUUAACCCCUUUGUGUUAGAAAAAUACGGGAAAGUGAAGAAGUUUAAUUACGAGAGUGAUCAGUGAUAUUUUUGUGACGAUAUUUAUUUGGUUUCGCAUCUACCGCGCCGGCAUCAUUUGGAUUGCAGUGUUGGAUUGCAGUGAUUGAAUUUGCGUGUGACAAUAAUGAAUAACGAAGAGGCCUGUGCUGAGAUUAGCCGUAAUUAAACAUGUAUGACGAAGGCAGUGGCUGUCUCCUUUUCUUGUGUUUUUGAGACGAAUGUAGGUUCUUGAUUAAUGAA